rnacentral:lncRNA from 1 species
UUGUAUAUCAAACCCCUAGAUCCUGCGGCCAGGAUCUAACCUCUCCCUGAAAAGAAAUGUGAGCCGUUGGAUGACUGAAUACAAAGCCACAAACAAACCCUACAAAACCCUAAUUUUUCACCAUCCAUCUUUUCAGACUGCUUCUGAUUCUCAAGACUCCUAUCUUCUCCACUGAUCACAGGGGCCACUCUCGGUGAGUAGAAGCUAUUUUCCGUUUGGUUCCUUAGAAAAUAGGGUAGGAAAUGCAUAAUUUUGGAUUAUAUUACGGUUUAUGUGGGUUUGUUUUGGUUCCUACUCGAAUGAAGUUGGUGGAAGUGAUUGUUUCUUGUUGAUUUCCGAGAAAAUAGAACAGCAGUUGAAAGACUUUUGAUCUUGUUACGUUUUAUGCUGUUCUGGUUUGGUUCCUAAACGAAUGAAAAUGUUCAUUUAAACCGAGAGAUUUCAGGUAUCUCAGUUUCCUUUUUUUUUUUUUUUCUCUGGACUUUCCUGGCAUCCAAACAUGGUUUUGUAGUUGGAGUUUACCUAUAAGUGAUUGUUGAUUUGUUUGCCCCUGAAAAAAGGGACAAAAUGGAAGAACCUUGGAUCUUGUAUUGUUUUAUGUUCUGGUUUGCCCCUGAAAUAUCGACUUUGAUUUUUCUUCUGGUGAAUCUAGGGUAAUGCGUUUCUUUGUUUUGUUUUCCAGUCAGUGAUUUCUUCAUGUAUAUUUGGUGCCUGACAAAAGUUUGAAUAUUCAAUUUUCUGUUUUUCCAG